rnacentral:lncRNA from 1 species
UAUCUACAAAGUUUAUUAUAGAAAUUGACAUGAUAUUGAUCAAGUGCAUAUUGAUGCUUAUGGUAUAUUUGAAUAGUGUUGCUUUGUUGUGCUAUCCACAAGGACAGCAUUGUUUAAGUAUAACCAUAUGAUUUGAAGGAUCAACUUAACUAGAAUACUAUAGUUUGUUGUGCUAUCCACAAGACUAUAUGUGAUCUAAAGAUUAGAGUGA